UGUAUGUUUCUUUGUGUGAUUUUGUCUGUUUAGUUUUGCUUUUACCAUUCGUUUUGGGGUUCUAUCUGUUUGUUUGGUUUUUUUCUUCCUUUUCUUUCAAGGCAUGCGGAUGGCAGGGUCUUGGUGAUACAGCCAGGUGUUGGGCCUGGGCUUCUGAGGAGGGACAGCCGAAUCCAGGACAUUGGAAAACGAGAGACCUCCCAGCCCCAUGUAGUAUUAAUUGACGAGAGCUCUCCCAGAGAUCUCCAUCUCAACAC